GAAAACCAAUGGUCUGUCCCAGUCCAAAGCCUGAGAACAAGAGGAGUGUAAGUAACAACUCCCAGUCCUAGCCCAAAGGCUUGAGGAUCUGGGUCCAAGAGGGGAUGGAGAUGGUAGUGUUAAGUCCCAGAACUUCAGUGGGCCAAGAAGCAGGAGCUCUUAUGUUUGAGGGCAGGAAAAUAUGGAUGUCCCAGUUCAAGAAGAGAGUAAAUCCACCGGUACUCCACCUUUUCUUCAGUUCAGGCCCUUGGUGGACUGGAGGGUGCCCACUCACACUGGCCAGGGCUAUCUUCUUUACUCCCAUUCAAAUGCUAAUCUCUUCCUGAAACACUUUCAUAGACAUUUCCAGAAACAAUGUGUUACCAGCUAUUUAUCUGGGUAUCUCUUAGCCCAGUAAAGUUAUUUCAUUAAAACUAACCAUUAUAGAUCCUUAGCAAAUAUAAUUAACAAACAAGCAGAUUACUCAACAGAGGCCUCAAUUCCCACGUCUAUAAGAGAAGUAUAAAAACAGCCAUUGCCCUAGACUGUGGAAAGGAUUAAAUAAGAUAUGUAUGUCAAGUGCCUGGUACUUAGUGGUCACGUAGGAAAAGCAGCUACUGUCAUGAUGAUUAUUUUUGUUCAUAUAGCUCCAUUUUUAGUUUGUUCAGACAGUUGAACAUAUUAUAAUUUACAUUAUAAUAAUAAAUGUUAUCCUCAGCAGACACGAACCUGUGGAUCCAAGUAGUACCUGUUGCAGCUGGGAAGUCAUUGCAGGAUCUUGGUCCAGUGUUUGGCAACAGUUUGAUCUGAAGAUGGCAGUUUGGGUGAUUUGGAGCAGCCUCAGCCUGCUGCGACUGCUAUGGUGUCUUCUUCCGCAGACGGGCUACGUGCACCCGGAUGAGUUCUUCCAGUCACCAGAAGUCAUGGCAGGUAAAGUUCUCAUGUGGUUAAGACAAGCAGCAGCUGAGUGGCUGAGAGGCUGAUCGGCUAUUUAGUGGGGAAAGGAAAGCACGUCUGUACAGGCUUGUACAGUAACUCCACAAGCAAAGCUGUUUUAGCCUCUCUGGGACAACAGCUUGGGAGUGGGGACUCACAUCUUCUUCCUGAGUGGCAACACUGACCUUCUGGAUGAUACUGAUGAAACACCAGCCUCUUUGAUGUUUUCCUGCUUGGACCAACAGGUCAUUCAGAAUGAAAGCUAUGAUGGACUCCUUAACGGAAGGAUGAGAGUUGGGCUUUCCCAGUGUCUGGGGAAGCUUACACAGAGUUGUGAUCCGAGAAUAUGAAAAAUUUCCCACUGUAGUUCAAGGAAGGAGAGAGGGAACCCAGACAUGGGAUACUCACUUGUUAGAACUUAUCCACUAGGGGCUGGGGAUGUAGCUCAGUGGUAGAGCACUUGCCUAGUAUGUGUGAAGCCCUGGGUUCUAUCCCAGCACUGCAGAAAACAAACAAAACCAAAAUCUACUAGGUGGUGAAAGGUAUAUCAAGAGGAUGGUUGCCAGGGUCUAUGAGGACUUUUGGAUGCUAUCAGUGUGUGACUUCCUCCUCAUGGUUCAAGACGGAACUUUCAAAUCUAAAACUGUCUUUCUAGCAAACAGGAAAUGGACAUGCCUACUCCCUCUAAGGUCACAUUUUGUAAAUCAUAUGCUUUUUGUCCAUUUCCAUCCCACUGGUCAGACACUUGACUACACUUAGUUGCAAAGGAAGCUAGGAAACAAAGUUUUUGUAUCUGAUUAAGUGUUCAGCUAAAGACACUAAGACAGGAAGGGGGAUUUGCUAUCUCUGCCACAUGAAUCAGUAGGUAGAUUUGGAUUUUAAAUUGAAAAUUUUGGUCUUAUGUCCUAAGUGUUUUUUUAAACCUGAAUUGUAUACAGCAGCUGGAUUGACUUGACGCUAGAUUUUCUGUUUCCCUUUCACCUUCUGAUAUAGAUCAAAUGGCCAAAAGACUGGAGGAAUAAGUAGCAGAAGCAAAGAGCCUGAAUGAUCCCCAGGCCAUAUAAUCAGCUCUAACAGCCAGCAAGGUUAUCAAGCAUGAAAUGCUAUGGACAGUGGGGUUUGGACUAGAGAUGCAGAAAUUAAAAUUUGUUCCCUUACCCCAAACAAUGAGCUAUGGAACACUGGGGAACAGGGUCACAGAUCAACCUCAAGCAGCAAGUAUUUUUGAAAUUAUAUAAAUACUGCUUGAAUUCCUUUUUCUUGUAAAAAUUUAAGUAUCAUAAACAAAACUAAGAUUAUAUUUUUCCAUAACCCUUAUUGUCU
rnacentral:lncRNA from 1 species